UGCAAGUCGAACGAGCUCUCCCUAAAAAAUUUUAUGCUUGCAUAAAAGAUUUUAGGAUUCGGAGCGAGUGGCGAACUGGUGAGUAACACGUGGGUAACCUGCCCUGAAGAGGGGGAUAACAUUUGGAAACAAAUGCUAAUACCGCAUAACAAUGAAAACCGCAUGGUUUUCACUUGAAAGAUGGCUCUGCUAUCACUUCAGGAUGGACCCGCGCCGUAUUAGCUAGUUGGUGAGAUAAAAGCUCACCAAGGCGAUGAUACGUAGCCGACCUGAGAGGGUAAUCGGCCACAUUGGGACUGAGACACGGCCCAGACUCCUACGGGAGGCAGCAGUAGGGAAUCUUCCACAAUGGACGCAAGUCUGAUGGAGCAACGCCGCGUGAGUGAUGAAGGGUUUCGGCUCGUAAAACUCUGUUGUUAAAGAAGAACAAGUGUAAGAGUAACUGUUUACGCUUUGACGGUAUUUAACCAGAAAGCCACGGCUAACUACGUGCCAGCAGCCGCGGUAAUACGUAGGUGGCAAGCGUUGUCCGGAUUUAUUGGGCGUAAAGCGAGCGCAGGCGGUUUUGUAA
rnacentral:rRNA from 1 species